UACGAAGGGGGCUAGCGUUGCUCGGAAUCACUGGGCGUAAAGCGCACGUAGGCGGAUUCCUAAGUCGGGGGUGAAAUCCUGGAGCUCAACUCCAGAACUGCCUUCGAUACUGGGAAUCUUGAGUCCGGGAGAGGUGAGUGGAACUGCGAGUGUAGAGGUGAAAUUCGUAGAUAUUCGCAAGAACACCAGUGGCGAAGGCGGCUCACUGGCCCGAUACUGACGCUGAGGUGCGAAAGCGUGGGGAGCAAACAGG
rnacentral:rRNA from 1 species